rnacentral:rRNA from 1 species
UACGGAGGGUGCAAGCAUUGAUCGGAAUUACUGGGCGUAAAGGGCGCGUAGGCGGCCAACUAAGUCAGACGUGAAAUCCCUCGGCUUAACCGGGGAACUGCGUCUGAUACUGGAUGGCUUGAGUUUGGGAGAGGGAUGCGGAAUUCCAGGUGUAGCGGUGAAAUGCGUAGAUAUCUGGAGGAACACCGGUGGCGAAGGCGGCAUCCUGGACCAACACUGACGCUGAGUGAGCGAAAGCCAGGGGAGCAAACGGG